UCCAGGCUCCUACGGGAGGCAGCAGUGAGGAAUAUUGGUCAAUGGGCGGAAGCCUGAACCAGCCAAGUCGCGUGAGGGAAGACGGCCCUACGGGUUGUAAACCUCUUUUGUCGGGGAGCAAAGCGAGUCACGUGUGACUCAUUGAGAGUACCCGAAGAAAAAGCAUCGGCUAACUCCGUGCCAGCAGCCGCGGUAAUACGGAGGAUGCGAGCGUUAUCCGGAUUUAUUGGGUUUAAAGGGUGCGCAGGCGGAGGUGCAAGUCAGCGGUCAAAUUGCGGGGCUCAACCCCGUACUGCCGUUGAAACUGCAUCCCUUGAGUGCGCGAGAAGUAUGCGGAAUGCGUGGUGUAGCGGUGAAAUGCUUAGAUAUUGCGCAGAACUCCGAUUGCGAAGGCAGCAUACCGGCGGCGAUCUGACGCUGAGGCACGAAAGCGUGGGUAUCGAACAGGAUUAGAUACCCUAGUAUA
rnacentral:rRNA from 1 species